UCUGUCACUUGUUGUUUACACUUGAACAUGCAUCACUGUAGUGAAGAGUCAAUCAUAUAUCAAAGACCACUGAGAAUGUUUUGAAGGUCUAGAGAAUGUUUUGAAGGUCAUUAGUGAAGUAUAUAAUUCAAUUCCAAUCCUGUGCACAGUUAAUGAUAUACCACACUGUUCGGUUUAACACAGCAUAUCCAGACAAAAACAAUUUGUGUUGUGGGAGAAUAUCAGUUUGAGUAGAAGGUAUCACAAGUUUAGUUUUGUACAUAUUGUGUGCCAUUGAUCUGAUCCAUCCAUAUAAUAUAUGAUUAUUGUAGCUGUUAAGUU